GGUUAAGCGACUAAGCGUACACGGUGGAUGCCCUGGCAGUCAGAGGCGAUGAAGGACGUGCUAAUCUGCGAAAAGCGUCGGUAAGGUGAUAUGAACCGUUAUAACCGGCGAUGUCCGAAUGGGGAAACCCAGUGCAAUUCGUUGCACUAUCGUUAACUGAAUACAUAGGUUAACGAGGCGAACCGGGGGAACUGAAACAUCUAAGUACCCCGAGGAAAAGAAAUCAACCGAGAUUCCCCCAGUAGCGGCGAGCGAACGGGGAGCAGCCCGGAGUCUGAAUCAGCUUGUGUGUUAGUGGAAGCGUCUGGAAAGUCGCAGGGUACAGGGUGAUACUCCCGUACACUAAAACGCACAGGCUGUGAACUCGAAGAGUAGGGCGGGACACGUGGUAUCCUGUCUGAAUAUGGGGGGACCAUCCUCCAAGGCUAAAUACUCCUGACUGACCGAUAGUGAACCAGUACCGUGAGGGAAAGGCGAAAAGAACCCCGGCGAGGGGAGUGAAAAAGAACCUGAAACCGUGUACGUACAAGCAGUAGGAGCCCACUAGUUGGGUGACUGCGUACCUUUUGUAUAAUGGGUCAGCGACUUAUAUUCUGUAGCAAGGUUAACCGUAUAGGGGAGCCGCAGGGAAACCGAGUCUUAACUGGGCGUUAAGUUGCAGGGUAUAGACCCGAAACCCGGUGAUCUAGCCAUGGGCAGGUUGAAGGUUGGGUAACACUAACUGGAGGACCGAACCGACUAAUGUUGAAAAAUUAGCGGAUGACUUGUGGCUGGGGGUGAAAGGCCAAUCAAACCGGGAGAUAGCUGGUUCUCCCCGAAAGCUAUUUAGGUAGCGCCUCGUGAAUUCAUCUUCGGGGGUAGAGCACUGUUUCGGCUAGGGGGUCAUCCCGACUUACCAACCCGAUGCAAACUACGAAUACCGAAGAAUGUUAUCACGGGAGACACACGGCGGGUGCUAACGUCCGUCGUGAAGAGGGAAACAACCCAGACCGCCAGCUAAGGUCCCAAAGUCAUGGUUAAGUGGGAAACGAUGUGGGAAGGCCCAGACAGCCAGGAUGUUGGCUUAGAAGCAGCCAUCAUUUAAAGAAAGCGUAAUAGCUCACUGGUCGAGUCGGCCUGCGCGGAAGAUGUAACGGGGCUAAACCAUGCACCGAAGCUGCGGCAGCGACGCUUAUGCGUUGUUGGGUAGGGGAGCGUUCUGUAAGCCGUUGAAGGUGGCCUGUGAGGGUUGCUGGAGGUAUCAGAAGUGCGAAUGCUGACAUAAGUAACGAUAAUGCGGGUGAAAAACCCGCACGCCGGAAGACCAAGGGUUCCUGUCCAACGUUAAUCGGGGCAGGGUGAGUCGACCCCUAAGGCGAGGCCGAAAGGCGUAGUCGAUGGGAAACAGGUUAAUAUUCCUGUACUUGGUGUUACUGCGAAGGGGGGACGGAGAAGGCUAUGUUGGCCGGGCGACGGUUGUCCCGGUUUAAGCAUGUAGGCGGAUGUUCCAGGUAAAUCCGGAACGUUAUUAACGCUGAGGUGUGAUGACGAGGCACUACGGUGCUGAAGUGACAAAUGCCCUGCUUCCAGGAAAAGCCUCUAAGCAUCAGGUAACAUCAAAUCGUACCCCAAACCGACACAGGUGGUCAGGUAGAGAAUACCAAGGCGCUUGAGAGAACUCGGGUGAAGGAACUAGGCAAAAUGGUGCCGUAACUUCGGGAGAAGGCACGCUGAUGGUAGGUGAAGUGACUUGCUCAUGGAGCUGAAAUCAGUCGAAGAUACCAGCUGGCUGCAACUGUUUAUUAAAAACACAGCACUGUGCAAACACGAAAGUGGACGUAUACGGUGUGACGCCUGCCCGGUGCCGGAAGGUUAAUUGAUGGGGUUAUCCUCACGGAGAAGCUCUUGAUCGAAGCCCCGGUAAACGGCGGCCGUAACUAUAACGGUCCUAAGGUAGCGAAAUUCCUUGUCGGGUAAGUUCCGACCUGCACGAAUGGCGUAAUGAUGGCCAGGCUGUCUCCACCCGAGACUCAGUGAAAUUGAACUCGCUGUGAAGAUGCAGUGUACCCGCGGCAAGACGGAAAGACCCCGUGAACCUUUACUAUAGCUUGACACUGAACACUGGUCCUUGAUGUGUAGGAUAGGUGGGAGGCUUUGAAGUGUGGACGCCAGUCUGCAUGGAGCCGUCCUUGAAAUACCACCCUUUAAUGGCUGGUGUUCUAACGUGGGCCCGUGAUCCGGGUUGCGGACAGUGUCUGGUGGGUAGUUUGACUGGGGCGGUCUCCUCCUAAAGAGUAACGGAGGAGCACGAAGGUCAGCUAAUCCUGGUCGGACAUCAGGAGGUUAGUGCAAUGGCAUAAGCUGGCUUGACUGCGAGCGUGACGGCGCGAGCAGGUGCGAAAGCAGGUCAUAGUGAUCCGGUGGUUCUGAAUGGAAGGGCCAUCGCUCAACGGAUAAAAGGUACUCCGGGGAUAACAGGCUGAUACCGCCCAAGAGUUCAUAUCGACGGCGGUGUUUGGCACCUCGAUGUCGGCUCAUCACAUCCUGGGGCUGAAGUAGGUCCCAAGGGUAUGGCUGUUCGCCAUUUAAAGUGGUACGCGAGCUGGGUUUAGAACGUCGUGAGACAGUUCGGUCCCUAUCUGCCGUGGGCGCUGGAGAAUUGAGGGGGGCUGCUCCUAGUACGAGAGGACCGGAGUGGACGCAUCACUGGUGUUCGGGUUGUCAUGCCAAUGGCAUUGCCCGGUAGCUAAAUGCGGAAGAGAUAAGUGCUGAAAGCAUCUAAGCACGAAACUUGCCCCGAGAUGAGUUCUCCCUGACUCCUUGAGAGUCCUGAAGGAACGUUGAAGACGACGACGUUGAUAGGCCGGGUGUGUAAGCGCAGCGAUGCGUUGAGCUAACCGGUACUAAUGAACCGUGAGGCUUAACCUU
rnacentral:rRNA from 1 species